CCACAUCAUGUUGAAACACGGGUUCCCGUACGAUCGCCGAAGUUAAGCAACGUAGACCGUGAUCAGUACCUAGAUGGGUGACAGCUCGGAUAUACUAGA